rnacentral:rRNA from 1 species
GACGAACGCUGGCGGCGUGCUUAACACAUGCAAGUCGAACGGGCCUGUCUUCUUUUUUGGGGGUGGGUUGAGUGGCGAACGGGUGAGUAUCACGUGAGUAACCUGCCCUUCGGUCCUGGAUAACCGCUUGAAAGGGCGGCUAAUACGGGGUGGUCCGGUUGGUCCGCAUGGGCUGGUCGGGAUAGAUUCACUGUUUUUGGUGUUUCGGCGGGGGAUGGGCUCGCGGCCUAUCAGCUUGUUGGUGGGGUGAUGGCCUACCAAGGCGGUGACGGGUAGCCGGCCUGAGAGGGUGGGCGGCCACACUGGGACUGAGAUACGGCCCGGACUCCUGCGGGAGGCAGCAGUGGGGGGUAUUGCACAAUGGGCGGAAGCCUGAUGCAGCGACGUCGCGUGAGGGAUGGAGGCCUUCGGGUUGUGAACCUCUGUUUCCGGUGGUGAAGGCCCUGUCCGUGUGGUGGGGUUGACGGUAGCCGGGGAUGAAGCGCCGGCUAACUACGUG